rnacentral:rRNA from 1 species
CUACGGAGGGUGCAAACGUUGUUCGGAAUUACUGGGCGUAAAGCGCGCGUAGGCGGUUUGUUAAGUCAGAUGUGAAAGCCCAAGGCUCAACCUUGGACGUGCAUUUGAAACUGGCAGACUUGAGUACUGGAGGGGAUGGUGGAAUUCCCGGUGUAGAGGUGAAAUUCGUAGAUAUCGGGAGGAAUACCGGUGGCGAAGGCGACCAUCUGGCCAGAUACUGACGCUGAGGUGCGAAAGCGUGGGGAGCAAACAGGAUUAGAAACCCCAGUAGUCC